rnacentral:lncRNA from 1 species
CUUUGCACAAGCCUUCCUAUACUCCAAGUAUUUUUGUGGUGAUUGAACCAUGAUGAGAUAAAAGCUUGUGGGGAGUCAGGUGAACUACUUCAUGUCUUCACCUCCAGGAAUGGAGACGCACAACUGCAUGCAAUUAGUUCAUUGUUUAUGGUAGCAAAGAACAAGUCUCCUUACAGUCAGUCAAUGUUUGUGUUUGUAUAUAAUAGCUAAUUCUAGCUUUGUUCAAGUUCUAGGAAAAAGGUGUUUUUGAUUUACCCAAGAGAAAGUCCUCCAAUUAUAUACCAACAGGAUAAGCACUGAGUUGUUGAUUUGAAUCUAACACCAAUUUAUUGUGGAUAAUGGUGUCUGGAGAGAAUGAUAUAUAGAUAAAUACUAGCAUAAUAAAAGAUAACAUCAAUCUUAAAAGCUUUGUCUUGCUUGCAUAUUUAAAUCACCAGGAGCUACAAAAGUACUAGCAGAAGGUUUGCAUGACAGAGAGCUGUUGGUGAUGGAAUAUCCAAAAACUGCAUGGGGCAUUUGAGCCACUGCGAUCAGGUUGAAGCAGAUGAAUUCAGCCUGGUAGUUUUGAAAAGUGUCAUAAACACCAGAAAACUGGAAGGAGUUUAUUGCUUGGAUACCACUAAGGCCACCUUUGCACCAGUGUUGCAGUAGCAGUAUCAGUUUAAUUAGAAGCUUACUGUGUGACUCCCACAAACCAACUGAUUAUUGACGCGGGGAAACUACUGGAGCAAGAAAGUUAUAUGAAGAUGAUAGAAGAGAGGGAGAUUUUUAAGGCUAGAGCUGCUGAAAGGAGUAUUUGCAGAGACAUCUAAAGAUCCAGUCCUGUUGAACAAAACUGACUUAUAAGGAGGCUACAAAUAUUCAGCCUUUGUAUAGCUUCAGCAUCAUUUUCAGUGAGUUCAUAUCCCUGUGCAGAGGCAGUCAUGCAUCCGUUCAUGCUCGGAGAAGAUCAGUCUCUGUUCUGUUCUAUGUGUUCAGGAGUGGCCUUGCCACAAACUGGAUGAGAAACAGCACAUUUCAGUUUGGAUCAAACUUCACACCGCUGCGGCUUCCUGACCAGAGUUGGCUCGCAUCUAAUUGAUUUGGAAAAUAUACUGUUAGAAUUAGUUCCCAUGGGGAAAUGAGUUCUGCUGACUGAUCUCAUUGGUCAGAGUAAAAUAAUGCACAGUGUAAAAUAUACAUAGCAAUUAAAGAACAAGGGUGUUUUCAGUGAAAACUAGAAGAAAAGAAAUAUUUAUCUUCUAUUGUCAUUUUUCGUAAAAUUGAAUAUGCUGUAACUGAGAUAUUUUUUUUUUCUUUUUUCUGUUUUGUGAAGUAAAUU